rnacentral:rRNA from 1 species
UCUCGGCACCUUCGGUGUCCGAGUUGUAAUCUCUAGAAAUGUUUUCCGCGUUGGACCGCACACAAGUCUGUUGGAAUACAGCGGCAUAGUGGUGAGACCCCCGUAUAUGGUGCGGACGCCCAGCGCUUUGUGAUACAUUUUCGAAGAGUCGAGUUGUUUGGGAAUGCAGCUCAAAUUGGGUGGUAAAUUCCAUCUAAAGCUAAAUAUUGGCGAGAGACCGAUAGCGAACAAGUACCGUGAGGGAAAGAUGAAAAGCACUUUGGAAAGAGAGUUAACAGUACGUGAAAUUGUUGGAAGGGAAACGCUUGAAGUCAGACUUGCUUGCCGAGCAAUCGGUUUGCAGGCCAGCAUCAGUUUUCCGGGAUGGAUAAUGGUAGAGAGAAGGUAGCAGUUUCGGCUGUGUUAUAGCUCUCUGCUGGAUACAUCUUGGGGGACUGAGGAACGCAGUGUGCCUUUGGCGGGGGUUUCGACCUCUUCACACUUAGGAUGCUGGUGGAAUGGCUUUAAACGAC